ensembl:lncRNA
GUGGACUUUAAAGCUUUUUUUUAUACUUUUAAGCAGGUUUCAUUUCAGUUGCUUCCGGCUGCUUUUGGUCACUUCGCAAUAUCUGCUGCAGUGUGGGUGGUUUUUGUUUUCGCCCUCGGCCCUGACACAUGGAGGAAGUGGAGGGUGCAUAUGGGGUUGAGGGCUGUGUUUCUUGGUAACUGGUCCCAGUGGGACGCUUCCUGAUGGCGUCUUCACCUGAACCCUGCUUCCCUGGAGAGCUUCCAAAUCACAAACACAUCUUGCAUCAUUUGCAAAACCUGCGAUUACUGCCCCCCCCUCCUCAAAGCAGACAGUGUGGGAGAGAUCAGUUAUUACUUAACAUGCAAAGAACAAAAGAAUAAACAAAAAAUGCACUGUACAUGUCAAGUAUUUUUAGCAACAUUGAGACACAAGUUUGCAAAAGUUAUAGUGUCAACAUAAAAUGAAAAACUACUGGACUUAAUCCUUUAAGCGGACCAAUACUGGUCCAUGAGUCGUUUGGUACUGGGCUGCAAGAGUUGAGGCUCGGGUGUGAAAUUUAUGGUUUUCAGGGUUUUUAUCAGUUUUAUCAUUUUUUUUAUUUAUUUAUUUUUAUCAUUUUUAUCGUUAACUCGGUUUCCCUGGGUCUUUUCCCGUGUGUUAUGAAUAAAUCUUCUUCCUUUUUUUUGGUACCAAUACUGGUUUUAUUUUGUUGUAUUUAUCCGCCACACCUUAAAGGCCGUUCCGUGAAAAUAUUGUUGGACAUAAACCGGUCCGUGGCGCAAUAAAGGUUGGGGGCCGCUGCUUUAAACCAUGUUUACCAAAAAACGUUGUAGACACUGUGUUUUCUUUCAGUGUGUGAUGUGUGGCCGUCCUCAGGGCACAAAGGCUGAAAUGAACCUUCAGAAAUGAAUUUCCCAUAUUUUUUGACCUGUCGUGACAGUUCAUACCAUGUUACAGUGACUAGGCUCAGCUUUUAGAGCGUCAGUGAUUCUCUGAGCUUUUUAUUUAAAGUGAUGAUAAGAGUUAAGAAUGCUACACUUGAAUGAAAAAGGCUUCAAACAAAAAAAAUGGCAGACUAACACACGAUACAUUUACUGUUCGUAUGAUGUUUGGAGUGUGUUUAUCUUAUUUUUUAUUUUUAUCUUUUUGUCAUGGAGGCAGGCUCUUUGGGUAUUAUAUCAAACCCUUAAUCAUUUUAAAUUCAACAUUUUUUAAAUUGUAUCAGAAUUACACACAGAUCUUUUCCUUCAUUGUGAAUACAGACUUUGUUUCUGCUGAACUCUGUUACUGAAGGUUUGAAGAUCCAUACAUAAUUCACACUGUAAAACUGGCACAGCUCCUGCCCUCCCACUCCCUUCCCAUAUUUCAUGGAACAUGUUUUGGGUCUAAAAACACUGGUAAAAUCUAG